CUUAAUCCAUAGGUUUCUUCAUCUGCCUUUUAUUCUUUGCAAAUUUUUCAUGAAGAAACUGAAUUGUUUUGUCCUUGGAUUCUUAAGAAAAUGGUUGACUUUAAAUAGAGGAACAACAAUUAUUUUCUGAUUUUGAGAUGCCUACUAUCCUGUUUGAUAAAUGGAGAGGGCUCAGCUGCACAACCAAAACAGUAAUUUGUCAUUGAUCCGGCAUUGGGUGUUUAUUGAAGAGUUAGAUUAAGAAAGAAAUGGAAGAAUCAAAGUUCAGAGUCUCCAUUAAAUAGAAGACGAGUACAAUGCGAGUAGCAGAAGAGGAGUAAUGGGAAACUGUGGAGUUGACCACAGGAGUGGUCAGUCGCGAAGAGGCUGAGUUUGUUGUAUGGAUGUAAAAUUCACUGAGACUACGAGAAGACUUCUGCUUCAAGCCAUGACAGUAACUGAUACUGACUUUCCUGCCUGCCUUAACCAUGAAAGUGCACAAAAUAUAUGUGAGGCAACCGCUUUUAGACACUGGACAACAUGCAACAAGAUGGUGGUCCCCAAGAGAAGGAAAACUCAUGAGAUCCAAACCUACUGCAGGUCAUUAAUUUAAGAAGAAACAUGUAACAGUAUCUACAACUGAAUCAGCAACAACUGGGCGGUAGGAAGAGACAGCAGAGGAGGAAGGCGAGCUGGUGGGGACUGUUUCUGCAAAUUACAGGAGGAAAUACUAACAAAAACUACAGAAAAGAAAAAGGACUGAAUGGACAUCAAACUUGCA